rnacentral:rRNA from 1 species
UACGGAGGGAGCUAGCGUUGUUCGGAAUUACUGGGCGUAAAGCGCGCGUAGGCGGCUUUGUAAGUUAGAGGUGAAAGCCUGGAGCUCAACUUCAGAAUUGCCUUUAAGACUGCAUCGCUUGAAUCCGGGAGAGGUGAGUGGAACUCCGAGUGUAGAGGUGAAAUUCGUAGAUAUUCGGAAGAACACCAGUGGCGAAGGCGGCUCACUGGACCGGCAUUGACGCUGAGGUGCGAAAGCGUGGGGAGCAAACAGG